AUUGAACGCUGGCGGCAUGCUUUACACAUGCAAGUCGAACGGCAGCGCGGGCUUCGGCCUGGCGGCGAGUGGCGAACGGGUGAGUAAUGCAUCGGAACGUGCCCAGUAGUGGGGGAUAGCCCGGCGAAAGCCGGAUUAAUACCGCAUACGACCUGAGGGUGAAAGCGGGGGGCCGAAAGGCCUCGCGCUAUUGGAGCGGCCGAUGUCGGAUUAGCUAGUUGGUGGGGUAAGGGCUUACCAAGGCGACGAUCCGUAGCUGGUCUGAGAGGACGACCAGCCACACUGGGACUGAGACACGGCCCAGACUCCUACGGGAGGCAGCAGUGGGGAAUUUUGGACAAUGGGGGCAACCCUGAUCCAGCCAUGCCGCGUGCGGGAAGAAGGCCUUCGGGUUGUAAACCGCUUUUGUUCGGGAAGAAAUCCUCUGGGCUAAUACCCCGGGGGGAUGACGGUACCGGAAGAAUAAGCACCGGCUAACUACGUG
rnacentral:rRNA from 1 species